AGGGUUUGAUUAUGGCUCAGGAUGAACGCUAGCUACAGGCUUAACACAUGCAAGUCGCGGGGCAGCAUGAAGGAUGCUUGCAUCUUUUGAUGGCGACCGGCGCACGGGUGAGUAACGCGUAUCCAACCUGCCUGUUACCACGGCACAGCCCGUCGAAAGGCGGAUUAAUGCCGUAUGUGGUCCUUUGCGGGCAUCUAAUUAGGACUAAAGGUUCAGCGGUAACGGAUGGGGAUGCGUCCGAUUAGCUAGACGGCGGGGUAACGGCCCACCGUGGCUACGAUCGGUAGGGGUUCUGAGAGGAAGGUCCCCCACACUGGAACUGAGACACGGUCCAG
rnacentral:rRNA from 1 species